rnacentral:rRNA from 1 species
AUUGAACGCUGGCGGCAUGCUUUACACAUGCAAGUCGAACGGUAGCAGGCCUUCGGGUGCUGACGAGUGGCGAACGGGUGAGUAAUGCAUCGGAACGUACCCAGAGGUGGGGGAUAACGCAGCGAAAGCUGUGCUAAUACCGCAUGUGAUCUGAGGAUGAAAGCGGGGGACCGAGCAGCAAUGUUUGGCCUCGCGCCUUUGGAGCGGCCGAUGUCGGAUUAGCUAGUUGGUGGGGUAAAGGCCUACCAAGGCGACGAUCCGUAGCUGGUCUGAGAGGACGACCAGCCACACUGGGACUGAGACACGGCCCAGACUCCUACGGGAGGCAGCAAUGGGGAAUUUUGGACAAUGGGCGCAAGCCUGAUCCAGCAAUGCCGCGUGCGGGAAGAAGGCCUUCGGGUUGUAAACCGCUUUUGGCAGGAACGAAACGGUGUCCGCUAAUACCGGGCGCUAAUGACGGUACCUGCAGAAUAAGCACCGGCUAACUACGUG